ensembl:lncRNA
CUUAGUUUCAGCAUUUUUCAAAGCUAACAUCCCGAAGUUUGUAUAGGGGAUGUCUUUAAAACAAAACAAGCAAGCAGACAUCGCAAUAGCAAAUUCAACCAUCUUCUCCGAGACUGCAUCAGAACAAUGACAACUGCAAGAAACUGGCUGAUUGUGUCAGAUUUAAAUGCAGAAAACAGAGAAAAAUGAAUUUGUUAACUUGCUCUCCAGGUCCUCAGAAGAUGCAAUCGGCCAUAAGGAACCAGAAUCCUUUGGUUUCAGGUCCCAAGCUAUACUCAGCACAUGCAUUCAGGUCUAGCAGGCAAAAUAAUAUUUUAAACAAUUAGCUGAAGGGGGAGAGAAUAACAAGGGAACGAUAAACAAGGUCUUUAGAUGUGAGUUGGAAGUGAU